rnacentral:rRNA from 1 species
CAUGGCUCAGGAUGAACGCUAGCUACAGGCUUAACACAUGCAAGUCGCGGGGCAUCAUGGAGGUUGCUUGCAAUUUCUGAUGGCGACCGGCGCACGGGUGAGUAACGCGUAUCCAACCUUCCCAUUACUACGGCAUACCCCGUUGAAAGGCGGCCUAAUUCCGUAUGCAGUCCGAAGCAGUCAUCUAAUUUGGACGAAAGGUAUAUUCUAUCGGUAAUGGAUGGGGAUGCGUCCGAUUAGCCAGCCGGCGGGGUAACGGCCCACCGGGGCAUUGAUCGGUAGGGGUUCUGAGAGGAAGGUCCCCCACACUGGAACUGAGACACGGUCCAGACUCCUACGG